CGCACCACAUUUGUUAAUAUUACGUCAGGAGUCUUCAGAAUGUUCGGUGAAUGCUUCGGGAGGAACAGAGAGGCCUGAUUUAUGUCGACAAGAAACCACAGAACACCCGGUUCUUGAGCACCAGCGCAAGGAUUCCCCAUGUGAAACGCUGAGUGUCUACAAAUUCUGAUAUUCCGAGGGCUUCCAGCUUCUGAACGACGUCGCAACGAAUUCCUGGCCAGUAGCAAAUGUAGAGAGCCCUGGAAUUUUCAUGGAGUUGUCCAUCUUCGUACAGCUGUUGCAGCUUCCGCACAGUGAGCAUCGUCUUACCGGUACCAGCUGCUCCGUGGAUUAUGAGGGGUUUGCCAGUCGGUCUCCGAUUUAACAAGUCCACUUGUUCCUGCGUAACAAAUAAUACAGUUCUGUAAGCAGGUUUUUUUAAUAAAUGUAGUCUUCUGUUGCAUGAAGGUUACUACAACGUGCAAAUAUAUAAUUUUUAAAAAUGAGAUUUUUACUUUAGAACAUGUCAUGAUUGUUUGUCUUUGCAUCUUGCCUCUGAGAUACUUUGAAUGUAAAAAGUUGGUACUACUGCUGUUCCCAUUUUGUAUCACUCGUCCUACCCCUUCCUUUGAAAAUCAAUAAAAUGCUAACCCACC